rnacentral:rRNA from 1 species
UACGGAGGGUGCGAGCGUUAAUCGGAAUUACUGGGCGUAAAGCGCACGCAGGCGGUGUUUCAAGUGGGAUGUGAAAUCCCCGGGCUCAACCCGGGAACUGCAUUCGAAACUGGGAGACUAGAGUCUUGUAGAGGGGGGUAGAAUUCCAGGUGUAGCGGUGAAAUGCGUAGAGAUCUGGAGGAAUACCGGUGGCGAAGGCGGCCCCCUGGACAAAGACUGACGCUCAUGUGCGAAAGCGUGGGGAGCAAACAGG